rnacentral:lncRNA from 1 species
UGUGUCAAGACAUAGUUUGAAGAGUUUUGUGUGCAUUAAUUCAAUUAAUCCUCACAAAAACCCAAUGAGGUGGGAACGAAUAUCCCCAGGUGAAUGGCUUAUUAAUUCUCUAAUUAUUAUUUCUUCAUCUGUAAAAUAAAGAAAACAACAACAUGCUAACAACAAUUUGCUAAGCACAUCUGGCAUUGAUCUAAGCCAGGACUGGCAAAUAGGAUCCAUCUCUAACCACCUGGGAGUGACUUCUUGUAGAAAGGGUAGACAGAUUCUUGAGAUGGCUCACUGGGACGGAGUACAGUCCUGGGCUCAUGGUGUCUGUCACCGACAGAGGAAUGGGUGACAUGCCAUAAGGAACAGAGAUCUGCCUUUCCUCCCAGACCAGUGAGAAAAAAAGAUGAGUGACAUGCAGACUGUGCCUCAGUCCAGAGCAGGAGGGAGCACCACCCCUAGGAUGCACUGAGGCUGUGUGGGCCAUCCAUAAGAGCAGAAGGUCAGGAUUCAGAACAGAUCAAAUGGACCAAGUGCACAUCUCUACAGCGCGACUCACAGGACAUAGAACGGGCACAAAGGAGGAAUUAAGUCCACUUGCAAGAGGCAGCAGAGGUCAGAAAAGCCCUCACAGAAGAGGAGGCCCUUAAGAUGAUACUUGAAAGAACAGACUCACACGCCUGCCUCACCCUGUCGUCUGGAGGACUUGGUGACAUCGUUUAUCUAAAGCAUUUAGCACAAUGUCUGCAGUCCAUAAAUGUUAGCUGACUCUAAAUGGUUUUGUUGCUGCAUUAUACUCCAUGUGACCCUCUGGAUCAGUCAGGGUUCUUGAUGGCAAACAACAGAAACUGCCUGGCUAACCUAAGCAGAAGAGAGGGUUCAUAGAAGGGUCUCAGAGAGCUCAGCGACUCCACAGGGAGCCGGCUUAGAGCAGAGAUGGGAACCAAGAGAGGCCGGGCAGCUGAGGACACGCCAGGGCCAGCUCCCAGGAGCAGUCUGGUCAGGUCAAAACCGUGGACAUCACUGGACACUCAGCACCGCUGCCAACACCAAGAGUGACUCUCACUAUCCUCGGAUUUUCUACCACGCCCUCAGGAUGGAACACCCUGGGUGAGAGGACCCACUGGCUGAUUCCAGCUCAGUCGUCCACAUCUCAGCUUUCAGUGGUCAUCGGGAGAAGGUAUUUGGCCUCUUCAACUUCCUGAGUAAGAAGUGGGGCCCUUUUUCCUAGUAAGAUUCACACAGCAGGGCCUAUUUUAGAAGUAGGGAGGGAUUUGGAUGUAUCCAAAACAAAGUUUCAGCUAUGCCUUAAGGAACACUUUUGAUAUAACAAGGACCAUUGUGUCAAAAAUGUAGAAUAUCAUCAUACACCCC